rnacentral:rRNA from 1 species
CCUACGGGAGGCAGCAGUGGGGAAUAUUGGACAAUGGGCGCAAGCCUGAUCCAGCCAUGCCGCGUGAGUGAUGAAGGCCCUAGGGUUGUAAAGCUCUUUCGCAGGUGAAGAUAAUGACGGUAACCUGAGAAGAAGCCCCGGCUAACUUCGUGCCAGCAGCCGCGGUAAUACGAAGGGGGCUAGCGUUGUUCGGAAUUACUGGGCGUAAAGCGCACGUAGGCGGAUAUUUAAGUUAGGGGUGAAAUCCCAGGGCUCAACCCUGGAACUGCCUUUAAUACUGGGUAUCUCGAGUCCGAGAGAGGUGAGUGGAAUUCCGAGUGUAGAGGUGAAAUUCGUAGAUAUUCGGAGGAACACCAGUGGCGAAGGCGGCUCACUGGCUCGGUACUGACGCUGAGGUGCG